rnacentral:rRNA from 1 species
UACGUAGGGUGCGAGCGUUGUCCGGAAUUAUUGGGCGUAAAGGGCUCGUAGGCGGUUUGGCGCGUCGGGUGUGAAAACUCAGGGCUUAACCCUGAGCCUGCUUCCGAUACGGGCAGACUAGAGGUAUGCAGGGGAGAACGGAAUUCCUGGUGUAGCGGUGAAAUGCGCAGAUAUCAGGAGGAACACCGGUGGCGAAGGCGGUUCUCUGGGCAUGUCCUGACGCUGAGGAGCGAAAGCGUGGGGAGCAAACAGG